rnacentral:rRNA from 1 species
GACGAACGCUGGCGGCGUGCUUAACACAUGCAAGUCGAACGGUGAAGCCCUUUUUUGGGUGGAUGAGUGGCGAACGGGUGAGUAACACGUGAGUAACCUGCCCCCUUCUUCUGGAUAACCUCAUGAAAGUGGGGCUAAUACGGGAUAUUCUGGUCUGGUCGCAUGGCUGGGCUGGGAAAGAUGCGCCUUUUGGGUGUUUUUGGUGGGGGAUGGGCUCGCGGCCUAUCAGCUUGUUGGUGGGGUGAUGGCCUACCAAGGCGGUGACGGGUAGCCGGCCUGAGAGGGUGGACGGCCACACUGGGACUGAGACACGGCCCAGACUCCUACGGGAGGCAGCAGUGGGGAAUAUUGCACAAUGGGCGCAAGCCUGAUGCAGCGACGCCGCGUGAGGGAUGGAGGCCUUCGGGUUGUGAACCUCUUUCGCCAGUGAAGCAGGCCUGCUCCUGUGUGGGUGGGUUGACGGUAGCUGGAUAAGAAGCGCCGGCUAACUACGUGCCAGCAGCCGCGGUAAUACGUAGGGCGCGAGCGUUGUCCGGAAUUAUUGGGCGUAAAGAGCUCGUAGGCGGCUGGUCGCGUCUGUCGUGAAAUCCUCUGGCUUAACUGGGGGCUUGCGGUGGGUACGGGCCGGCUCGAGUGCGGUAGGGGAGACUGGAAUUCCUGGUGUAGCGGUGGAAUGCGCAGAUAUCACGAGGAACAC